GUGGGGAAUAUUGGACAAUGGGCGCAAGCCUGAUCCAGCCAUACCGCGUGGGUGAAGAAGGCCUUCGGGUUGUAAAGCCCUUUUGUUGGGAAAGAAAAGCAGCCGGCUAAUACCCGGUUGUUCUGACGGUACCCAAAGAAUAAGCACCGGCUAACUUCGUGCCAGCAGCCGCGGUAAUACGAAGGGUGCAAGCGUUACUCGGAAUUACUGGGCGUAAAGCGUGCGUAGGUGGUUGUUUAAGUCUGUCGUGAAAGCCCUGGGCUCAACCUGGGAACUGCGAUGGAAACUGGGCAACUAGAGUGUGGUAGAGGGUAGCGGAAUUCCUGGUGUAGCAGUGAAAUGCGUAGAUAUCAGGAGGAACAUCCAUGGCGAAGGCAGCUACCUGGGCCAACACUGACACUGAGGCACGAAAGCGUGGGGAGCAAACAGGAUUAGAUACCCCGGUAGUCC
rnacentral:rRNA from 1 species